rnacentral:rRNA from 1 species
AGCAGCCGCGGUAAUUCCAGCUCCAAUAGCGUAUAUUAAAGUUGUUGCAGUUAAAAAGCUCGUAGUUGAAUUUUAGGCCUGACCGGGCGGUCCGUCUCUGGCGAGUACUGUUCUGUUGUCGGGUCUAUCCUUCUGGUGAGCCGGUAUGUCCUUUGUUGGGUGUGUCGGGGAACCAGGACCAUUACCUUGAAAAAUUAGAGUGUUUAAAGCGGGCUUUUGCUUGAAUAGAUUAGCAUGGAAUAAUAGAAUAGGACGUUGGUUCUAUUUUGUUGGUCUAGGACCACCGUAAUGAUUAAUAGGGAUAGUUGGGGGCAUUAGUAUUCAAUUGUUCAGAGGUGAAAUUUACUUGGAUUUAUUGAAGACUAACUACUGCGAAAGCAUUUGCCAAGG